rnacentral:rRNA from 1 species
GACGAACCGUGCGAACGUUGUUCGGAUUCACUGGGCUUAAAGGGCGCGUAGGCGGUAAGCCAAGUCUGGGGUGAAAUCUUUCGGCUCAACCGGAAAAUUGCCUGGGAUACUGGCGUGCUCGAGGGAGGUAGGGGCAGCGGGAACUGCCAGUGGAGCGGUGAAAUGCGUUGAUAUUGGCAGGAACGCCGGUGGCGAAAGCGCGCUGCUGGACCUCUUCUGACGCUGAUGCGCGAAAGCUAGGGGAGCAAACGGG